UACGAGGGGGGCGAGCGUUGUUCGGAUUUACUGGGCGUAAAGAGCGUGUAGGCGGCUGGGUAGGUCCGUUGUGAAAACUCGAGGCUCAACCUCGAGACGCCGAUGGAAACCCUCCAGCUAGAGUCCGGAAGAGGAGAGUGGAAUUCCUGGUGUAGCGGUGAAAUGCGCAGAUAUCAGGAGGAAUACCGAUGGCGAAGGCAGGUCUCUGGGCUGACACUGACGCUCAUGCACGAAAGCGUGGGGAGCGAUCCGG
rnacentral:rRNA from 1 species